CAGUAGCCGCGGUAAUGCGUAGGUGGCAAGCGUUGUCCGGAAUUAUUGGGCGUAAGGGCUCGCAGGCGGUUUCUUAAGUCUGAUGUGAAAGCCCCCGGCUCAACCGGGGAGGGUCAUUGGAAACUGGGAAACUUGAGUGCAGAAGAGGAGAGUGGAAUUCCACGUGUAGCGGUGAAAUGCGUAGAGAUGUGGAGGAACACCAGUGGCGAAGGCGACUCUCUGGUCUGUAACUGACGCUGAGGAGCGAAAGCGUGGGGAGCGAACAGGAUUAGAUACCCCUGUAGUCCCUGUCUCUUAUACA
rnacentral:rRNA from 1 species